GUUUUAUUCAAUAAAAAUGGUGUUUUUUUCUUUCAGUUUUCUCAUAAUAUCUCAAAAAUCCUUUCACAAAAUUGCAAGGAAUGUUGGUGAAUUAUUUAUUUCUAUUGACAUGAGCUCCCUUUCAAUUUUUAUAAAUUUUAGAUUUUACGUUUCCGGGUUUUAUUAAUUAAAAAGGGGGGAUUUUCUAGUUUUCAGACAUUAACACAAAAACGUUUUCAGCAGUUCUCAUGAAACUUUUCUGAAUUGUUUAUAUCUAUUGUUGUAAGCAACCUUUCGAUUUUUAUUUUUUUUUCGAUUUUAUGUUAUUCAGUUAAGGGGUUGAUUCAUUAAAAAAGACGGUAUUUUCCAGUUUUCGGACAAUAACUCAAAAAUGUUUUCAGC
rnacentral:lncRNA from 1 species